CGCUUCUCCCGUCUGGGGGAAAAAACGGGAGAA
rnacentral:tRNA from 1 species